GAAGCAUGAGGGAAACAGGAAGCUGGUCUCUUGGCAUCAAGGUUUUUUCUCCCCCAAAGGAGAGCUGAGAAUUGGGAUUUUAUCAUCUCUGAGCUCUGUACUGAGCAAGGGAAAAGACCAGCCUGUACUCCCCUCUGGGUGCCUAGGCUGUGCCAGAACCAUCAGGGCUCCAAGGCUGGCCAACCUGAAGCCAGUCCUUGGGGACUCCAUGGAAGAACAUGUUUCAAGUUCUACUGGAUUUAUGGACAUACGUUCCCAUCGCUGCAAUCAUGCCAUUGAUCAGCAUUUCAUUCUCCAUACAUUUACCAUGGCCUGGAAUCUUUAGGGCUUCUAUUUUAAGCUGUCAGUGUAAGUAUUCAGAAGAAAGCAACCAUGCAUUUAUUGGGACACAAGCCAGCAGAGCACAGGAAAAAUGCAACCAGUGGCCCCCUGCUGCCGAUGGAUUUUCUAAUGGUUGACUUAAUAUAAAACAUUACAAUUUGUAAAUAUCCUUGUCCAAAGCCUCGGGACUCAGUUGAUUCUGCUGAGCGCACAACAAGGAAAUUCUCUGUGUACUCUGUGUGCUCCUCAUCUCACGUCUCAGCUGGAGCCAGGAUGCGAGCCUUGCUCACAGGGAUGUAGGGUUGCGAUCAUGCCCUGGAGAAGAGACCCUGUGUGCAUGAACAGAGCAUGAAGCAGUAUUGGGUUUUUCCUGUAGGAAGCACAUAUGAGCCCCAAACACUCCACAUUAUGUCUCUUAAAAGAAACAAACACUUGGAACCAAGAUGUCUGCCUGGAUCUUCCCCAUGCUUGAGCCACAAAGUCUUCCGCCCUGCACACUAUGAGCUGAUCUAGAAGCAGAGAAGGAUAAAAGUCAUCAGACCAAACAAAUGUAAACAACAAAUAAAAGCAGCAAGGAGAAAACAAGCCAAAGUGGCUCACCAAGAAUCGAAAGAUUCGCCUGCAGAAGAUGGCGAGACUAAACUCAAGGAGAGGACAGUCUGAUGAAACAGGAGAAAGAAAAGUCAAGUCUGAUGAGUGCCACACACCCCAGCUUCUCCGUGGUCCCCUCUCCCAUCUUGCAUAAUCCAAAGAAAUAUUUUUUUGGUAUCAAUUAAUUUGCAAAUCGAAGUUGUUUAGUAGCUCCAGAAACACUUUGAAGAAGGAGAGAAUCCCACCUCAUCGCAUUUUUCCCUGAUAUAACUGAUUUCUUAAGAGGGGAAAAUCAUGUGUUGUUUAUUUGUUGGUUCAAUCAAUAAAUAGUGGUGUCUUAGGGGUCAGCCUGACUCUGCAUAGGUUGGAGGUACUUCUGAUAUCCUGUAAGACAAAGCAUGCUUAAUGACAAUUGGGGGUCACAGUUGUGCAUUUAAUAUGUCUCGAAUAGUUUCCUGUAUUUCCACUCCCAUUGUUUCACAUAAAAAACCACUCCUAGAUUGUGGCCCUGGCAGAGCUGUAUUCACCCGGCAACAUCUUUCGUCAUGGAAAUCCAGGUUUUUUUUUAAUAUUUCUAAUUUUGGGGAAAGAUUGAAAACUUGAAGAAGUAGUGUCUAUCAUUUUAAGUUGUGAAUGGAUGGGAUUUAUAUAACAGUUUCUUAACAUUUGAAGAUGCUGGGACAUGAUAUUCUCCAAAGGAAAAUUUGUCUCCAAAUUUGAAGCUGGGAUGUCAGUAGACUAACUUUUUUUUAAGUUUUUAUUU